GUUGAGCUGCGAGCCAAACCAGCAUCUUUUUGUUCUGUUUUGGAACAUCAUUUUUUCUCGAAUUAGUGACAAGCUAUAGCUAGUAAGACUUGGGUGUCCGGCAGAAGUUUUCUCAAAAUGAUCCAAGUGAGCUAGAAAACAAGGGACACCACUGGCUGCCCAUCGAUUGUGGAAAACAUGUACGUGCCACAGUGGAAGUGCCAGCUUCCCAAUGCUUAAUAGACUUCUGGAUGAAACUGGGACAAUAUUAACAAAUGAGAGUCUUGGUGAGGUAGUAGAAUGAACUGUGUCCGUAUUUGGAAGAUCUGUGGGACUCAGAGAACCACUAUUCUCCCCGUGACCGAUGUGCAAGGACAUAAAAUCAUUCUUGCAUACAGAGCCGAUCAAAGCGCAGUGGAGAGCAACAGACGUGAACAGAGUACAAGAGGUCACGGAUAUGGCUUCAGACUCCACGUUACAAAUAAUCUUUGGGAAACCACCACGUGUUGCAUUUUGCUGUAUUACCAAGGAGGAGUUCCACGAACACACGGAAAGGCCAUUAAACCAUUCCUCUAUUGUCCAACUACGUAUCUGCGGAAGACCAAGUUUUCAUCAUGUACUUCAACCCAAACUAGUUAUCCAAGAUGCCUGUGGAUGAAGGUAGAGGCAGACAGGAGAGCCCGGCUGUCUCACAGGUGAUAGUCUUCUGUGACAGGGCUGAACAACUGACCUGCAGCCUGGUCUACUUUCCGGCACCUACAAAAUGACCACCGGAGGCGACUAGGUGACAAAGGCUGAGCUCCCUUAGAAAGGCCAUCCUCCUGAGGCAAGGUCUCUGAGAGCUGGAUCUGCCGUCUUUCCUUUCCAGGCUACAACCGCAGGUCUGAGGAGUUACAACGGAGACGGGGAGGCCUACAGAGCCUAAAAUGGUUACUCUCUGGCCCUUCCUGGAUGAAGUGUGCGCACCCUGGAUAUGGAACGUGGCUACUUAAGACCUGGAUGCAGAAUGAAGUCAAUGCACUCAAUCAAAUCAGCCUACAGAAGAGGAAGUCCGUUUCUUUUCUCUUUUUACACGUGUCUGGAAGAGAGAGGUCCCUGGGCUGCCUGGGGAGGAAAAUCCUCCACCCGGGUACUGUCGUCCUGCUACGUAAUCUGCCACUGGGUGGCAAAAUCACAGGAAAACGUUGCUGUAAACUGCGAGAGGCUUCCUCCCAACAGCACUAUUACGUGAUCAUGCCCCGCAAACUUCAUCUCUAAUCGUCACGGAGAUCAAUCCUUACUUCUAUCUCCAUUCCUCAGCUUCAUAAACACUCCCCAGCGCUCCUCUUAUUGCUAUUCGGUCAUUCAUAUAAAUCAAAAAUAUAGAUCUACAAGAAAAAGCAAGGUUUUUGUUUGGUUCUGUUGGUGAGGGGCGGUAGCUUGCAUGCAGGCAUUGAAUCAAGCUGCCAAUUGUAACAUUAAAAUGCUAUGUACGUAAAACCCCACCGAAACACAUACCUAAAAAAAUGGUUAAGAUGGCAAGUUUCAUGUUAUGCAGAUGUUUUUGUCAUGCAGAUUUUAAUCAUACUUCGAAGUUUAAUUGAUUCUAAAAAAUGAAAUUGCUUUGCUUAGGAUAUAAUUGCUCUGCUUAGGAUAUGAUGUCAUUAGGGUAUGGGGUACAGAAGAAAUUCCCAAUAAAAACAGGCAGCCUCUAUCCAAGCCUGCUGUGAGGCUCAAAUGCCUGAAAUUGCCAUGUUUGUAGGUGUAAAAUGGUUGACUAUUUCGGCAAUUUUAGA